rnacentral:rRNA from 1 species
UACGUAGGGUGCGAGCGUUAAUCGGAAUUACUGGGCGUAAAGCGUGCGCAGGCGGUGAUGUAAGACAGAUGUGAAAUCCCCGGGCUCAACCUGGGAACUGCGUUUGUGACUGCAUCACUCGAGUACGGCAGAGGGAGGUGGAAUUCCGCGUGUAGCAGUGAAAUGCGUAGAUAUGCGGAGGAACACCGAUGGCGAAGGCAGCCUCCUGGGCCAGUACUGACGCUCAUGCACGAAAGCGUGGGGAGCAAACAGGAUUAGAUACCCUGGUAGUCCACGCCCUAAACGAUGUCAACUAGUUGUUCGGUGAGGAGACUCAUUGAGUAACGCAGCUAACGCGUGAAGUUGACCGCCUGGGGAGUACGGCCGCAAGGUUAAA